rnacentral:rRNA from 1 species
CCUACGGGAGGCAGCAGUAGGGAAUUUUCCGCAAUGGGCGAAAGCCUGACGCAGCGACGCCGCGUGAGGGAUGAAGGUCUUCGGAUCGUAAACCUCUGUCAGGAGGGAAGAACCGCCACGGUGCUAAUCAGCCGUGGUCUGACGGUACCUCCAAAGGAAGCACCGGCUAACUCCGUGCCAGCAGCCGCGGUAAU